GAAAAGAGAGGAAACCCUAGCCGCAAUAGAGAGCAGUAGAGGAAGAGAGAGGAGAGGAAGAAGAACUCGAAUUGUUGGUGGUUGAUCAAAGAAAGAAAAGGAAAUUGUCAUUUCCAAUGCCAACCAAAGGGCGAACGACGAGAGACUCACCGACGCACCAUAGCCACCACUCGGGAAUAAAGAGAUGAGGAAUAAAAUGAUGAACUGCAAAUAGACCUACCCUUGGAAGUCUAUGAGGAUCUCGUGGAUCCAUAAGUCUGAGUGCAUGACUGUUCUCGCACUCUUAUGAAUUCCAGUAGCAUAGUGAAAGAAGUGGCCCUUAUGUUUUAUAUUUUGUACCCACUUCUGGUCUCAACGAUGUAUGUAUUUAGAACAUUAUAUAUAUAUUUCUAAGGGAUUUGUUAAGAUUUAAUUUUGCUGCAUAAAUAUUAUCAUACACUCAUUAUUCUAAAUCUGUAUUUGAUACUCAUUUGUCUUAAUUGAUGCAUGCGGAUUUAUGUGGACCAA